rnacentral:rRNA from 1 species
AUACGUAGGGAGCGAGCGUUGUCCGGAAUUACUGGGCGUAAAGGGUGCGUAGGCGGCCAAAUAAGUCAGAUGUGAAAUACCAUGGCUCAACUGUGGGGGUGCAUUUGAAACUGUAUGGCUUGAGUGCAGGAGAGGAAAGUGGAAUUCCUAGUGUAGCGGUGAAAUGCGUAGAGAUUAGGAGGAACACCAGUGGCGAAGGCGGCUUUCUGGACUGUAACUGACGCUGAGGCACGAAAGCGUGGGUAGCGAACAGGAUUAGAUACCCUGGUAGUCCACGCCGUAAACGAUGGAUACUAGGUGUAGGGGGUAUCGACCCCCCCUGUGCCGGAGUUAACGCAAUAAGUAUCCCGCCUGGGGAGUACGUGCGCAAGCAUGAA